UGGGCGAAAGCCUGAUGCAGCAACGCCGCGUGAGGGAUGACGGCUUUCGGGUUGUAAACCUCUUUUAGCAGGGAAGAAGCGAAAGUGACGGUACCUGCAGAAAAAGCGCCGGCUAACUACGUGCCAGCAGCCGCGGUAAUACGUAGGGCGCAAGCGUUAUCCGGAAUUAUUGGGCGUAAAGAGCUCGUAGGCGGUUUGUCGCGUCUGCUGUGAAAUCCCGAGGCUCAACCUCGGGCCUGCAGUGGGUACGGGCAGACUAGAGUGCGGUAGGGGAGAUUGGAAUUCCUGGUGUAGCGGUGGAAUGCGCAGAUAUCAGGAGGAACACCGAUGGCGAAGGCAGAUCUCUGGGCCGUAACUGACGCUGAGGAGCGAAAGGGUGGGGAGCAAACAGGCUUAGAUACCCUGGUAGUCCACCCCGUAAACGUUGGGAACUAGUUGUGGGGUCCAUUCCACGGAUUCCGUGACGCAGCUAACGCAUUAAGUUCCCCGCCUGGGGA
rnacentral:rRNA from 1 species